rnacentral:rRNA from 1 species
GUGGGGAAUAUUGGACAAUGGGCGCAAGCCUGAUCCAGCCAUGCCGCGUGAGUGAUGAAGGCCCUAGGGUUGUAAAGCUCUUUCACCGGAGAAGAUAAUGACGGUAUCCGGAGAAGAAGCCCCGGCUAACUUCGUGCCAGCAGCCGCGGUAAUACGAAGGGGGCUAGCGUUGUUCGGAAUUACUGGGCGUAAAGCGCACGUAGGCGGACAUUUAAGUCAGGGGUGAAAUCCCGGAGCUCAACUCCGGAACUGCCUUUGAUACUGGGUGUCUGGAGUAUGGAAGAGGUGAGUGGAAUUCCGAGUGUAGAGGUGAAAUUCGUAGAUAUUCGGAGGAACACCAGUGGCGAAGGCGGCUCACUGGCUCGAUACUGACGCUGAGGUGCGAAAGCGUGGGGAGCAAACAGGAUUAGAUACCCCUGUAGUCC